rnacentral:tRNA from 1 species
UAGGCUAAGGUCCAGUUGGCUUGGACAUCUAAUUGUUAAUUAGUUUUUUGUGGGAUCGACGCCCACUAGUCUAG